UGUGUGUAUAUAUUUAUUCUUGAGAAAAAUUAAUAACAAUAACGGAGGUAAGAUGAAUAGAAACAUAAAACAUCAUAGGUUAGAAAGAAAAGAGAGAGAAUAAAAAUAAAACAGCCAAAGCUUACGAGUUUACGAGCUAGGGAGUAGUAUGAAGUGGUAAAGUAAGAUUUUUUAAAGUAUUGUGAGAGAUUUUUUAAAGUAAUGUGAGAUACAAUAAUGAAAAGUAAGGUAAUUUUAUGUUGUUUGAGAGGAAAGUAAGAUAAAUAAUGGUUUAUAAAUCUUUGUUUGAAUAUGAAAAAG
rnacentral:misc_RNA from 1 species